rnacentral:rRNA from 1 species
CAGUUGAAAAUGGAGGGGAUGAGCUGUGGAUAGGGGUGAAAGGCCAAUCAAACACCGUGAUAGCUGGUUCUCCCCGAAAUGCAUUUAGGUGCAGCGUUGUGUGGUUCGUGUCGGAGGUAGAGCACUGGAUGGUCUAGGGGGCCUAUCAGCUUACCGAAACCAGCCAAACUCCGAAUGCCGGCACGUGGAGCGCAGCAGUGAGACGGCGGGGGAUAAGCUUCGUCGUCGAGAGGGAAACAGCCCAGAUCAUCAGCUAAGGCCCCUAAGUGAUAGCUAAGUGGAAAAGGAUGUGGAGUUGCGUAGACAACCAGGAGGUUGGCUUGGAAGCAGCCAUCCUUGAAAGAGUGCGUAAUAGCUCACUGGUCAAGUGAUUCCGCGCCGACAAUGUAGCGGGGCUCAAGUUAUCCGCCGAAGCUGUGGCAACUUUUUUUGAGUUGGGUAGGGGAGCGUCGUGUUCGUGGUGAAGCAGCCUGGUGAUGGGUUGUGGAGUGGAUGCGAGUGAGAAUGCAGGCAUGAGUAGCGAAUGACGGGUGGGAAACCCGUCCGCCGAAUAUCCAAGGGUUCCAGGGUCAAGUUAAUCUGCCCUGGGUGAGUCGGGACCUAAGGCGAGGCCGACAGGCGUAGUCGAUGGACGACCAGUUGAUAUUCUGGUACCGGUGUAGCACCGUCCGUGUCGAGGUGUGUGAUGCUAAGCGUGCGAGUGUCCUGGUGAUCCCUUCGGGGUGAUCUUGUGGCGUGAGUGUGUGAACCGAUCAUGUAGUAGACAAGCUGCGGAGGGACACAGUGAGGUAGCUCGUCCCCGGCGAUGGUUGUCCGGGGCUAAAUGUGUGGACUGUCUGGUAGGUAAAUCCGUCAGACGUUGAGUUGAGGCAUGAUGGCGAGCCAUGUUUGUGUGGUGAGCGAGUGAUCCUGUGCUGUCGAGAAAAGCUUCGUGAGCGAGGUGUGAGCCGCCCGUACCCUAAACCGACACUGGUGGAUUGGUAGAGUAUACCGAGGCGAUCGAGAGAAUCAUGGUGAAGGAACUCGGCAAAAUGCCCCCGUAACUUUGGAAGAAGGGGGACCUGAGCUGUUGCCGCCACGUGCUGGUGGUUGCGGUGAGGGGCGCAGAGAAUUGGGGGAAGCGACUGUUUACCAAAAACACAGGUCCGUGCGAAGUCGUAAGACGAUGUAUACGGACUGACUCCUGCCCGGUGCUGGAAGGUUAAGGGGAACUGUUAGCUUUGGCGACGCGGUGAACUUAAGCCCCAGUAAACGGCGGUGGUAACUAUAACCAUCCUAAGGUAGCGAAAUUCCUUGUCGGGUAAGUUCCGACCUGCACGAAUGGAGU